rnacentral:rRNA from 1 species
AUUGAACGCUGGCGGCAGGCCUAACACAUGCAAGUCGAGCGGAUGAAGGGAGCUUGCUCCUGGAUUCAGCGGCGGACGGGUGAGUAAUGCCUAGGAAUCUGCCUGGUAGUGGGGGAUAACGUCCGGAAACGGGCGCUAAUACCGCAUACGUCCUGAGGGAGAAAGUGGGGGAUCUUCGGACCUCACGCUAUCAGACGAGCCUAUGUCGGAUUAGCUAGUUGGUGGGGUAAAGGCCUACCAAGGCGACGAUCCGUAACUGGUCUGAGAGGAUGAUCAGUCACACUGGAACUGAGACACGGUCCAGACUCCUACGGGAGGCAGCAGUGGGGAAUAUUGGACAAUGGGCGAAAGCCUGAUCCAGCCAUGCCGCGUGUGUGAAGAAGGUCUUCGGAUUGUAAAGCCCUUUAAGUUGGGAGGAAGGGCAGUAAGUUAAUACCUUGCUGUUUUGACGUUACCAACAGAAUAAGCACCGGCUAACUUCGUG